ACGAACGCUGGCGGCGUGCUUAACACAUGCACGUCGAACGGAAAGGCCCUGCCUUUGUGGGGUGCUCGAGUGGCGAACGGGUGAGUAACACGUGAGUAACCUGCCCUUGACUUUGGGAUAACUUCAGGAAACUGGGGCUAAUACCGGAUAGGAGCUCCUGCUGCAUGGUGGGGGUUGGAAAGUUUCGGCGGCUGGGGAUGGACUCGCGGCUUAUCAGCUUGUUGGUGGGGUAGUGGCUUACCAAGGCUUUGCCGGGUAGCCGGCCUGGGAGGGUGACCGGCCACAUUGGGACUGAGAGACGGCCCAGACUCCUACGGGAGGCAGCAGUGGGGAAUAUUGCACAAUGGGCGGAAGCCUGAUGCAGCAACGCCGCGUGCGGGAUGACGGCCUUCGGGUUGUAAACCGCUUUCGCCUGUGACGAAGCGUGAGUGACGGUAAUGGGUAAAGAAGCACCGGCUAACUACGUG
rnacentral:rRNA from 1 species